rnacentral:tRNA from 1 species
GCCUGGGUGGCUCAGUUGGUUGAGCAUCUGACUUCAGCUCAGGUCAUGAUCUCACAGUUUGUGGGCUUGAGCCCCAUGUCGGGCU